GUAUCCACUGAUGUAUUUUAGGAACAAGCAACGACCACAUGCAACUAGGCCUCAUAAGAGUUAAGGAAAAGAAAACUCUCCCCAAAUCCUGUUCUAGGAAGUAUUCUGUGCUUCACUUUACUGGAAGAUUAUUUGCCUCUACGCAGACCGCAGUGUGCAACCAGGAAAAAUGGCUCAGAUUCGAGAUAACCAAACUUCCCGCUAAUCACAACUUCAGCUCCUUAAAUUCCUUCUGUAGCAUCUCCACAAAUGUGGGGGUUUAGUCUUUGUUCAUGAAGCAGGGCACAGAGACGAGCCUCGGAAAGGCCGGGACGGUCCCUUGCCUGCCGCGGGGAACUGGGAGCAGGUUCCACACGAGGCCUACUGCAGAAGGGUAAAGAGGAUCCCGUGCCCAAAAUGAAGACCGGUUUCAGCCGCACCGGGGGCAAUACUUGCCCUACCAACCCUCUGGCCCUCCCGGCCUGUCUGCUAAUGCUCGUAAAGAGCAAACUUCGGAAGGAAGCAAGAGACCACCCCCGAAGCGAAGCACCCGGGAGCUCCUUCUCCCUCCACCUCCCCCCCUCCGGCAGCCCGGCCCUCGCAAAGCCGAGCCAGGCUCCUUCAGGCGCCGGCUCCCUCACAGCCAAAGCAGCCUCUUCGGAGAAAGAGCAGCAGCCGCCGCCGCCGCCUCCUCCCGACCAUUGAUUGAUCCACUCGGCCUCUCCCCCGCAGCCGUGACAGGGAUGGAGGAGCGGCCUCUCCCGAUGGGGAAGGGAGAGGAGCGUCGGACCUGCCGCCCGAAGGGAGCGCUUGGCCGGCGGCGCAGGACGGAGGAGUCGGAGCCAUCUCCUUCGCGGCUGAGGGGAGGGGAGGCCGGCUGAGGGCAGCUCCUAUCCCGGCAUCCCAAUAACACACUUUUAAAGUACUACGGUAGCGUUUUAUGCAAAAAAUUGCAUCAUUUUUACCUCAUAAGUUUUCGAUUUCGCUUUUCUUCACACACACCCCCCUUGGAGAGUGUUUUAUUCUCCAUAAUAAAUGUAUAAUGGCAACUACA
rnacentral:lncRNA from 14 species